AAUGAACUGAGAUCAUAUCAGGGUAGAUGAAUGAACUGAGAUCAAAUCAGAAUGAGAGUGAUCCUGAGAAUAGGAUGACGAAGAAAGACUUAAUAGAAUUAAGGAUCGAUUACAAGAAGUAGGGUAAAGAAGAUUCAAGAGGUUUCAAAUGCUUGUUGAUGUUUAUCAUUUGGUAUCAGAGCAUUUGGUCGACGUUCUUUGGCCGGCUCUAGAGGUGAAAUAUCUUUACUUUGUUAAGUUAGCUUUAUUUGUGAAAUUUUGCAAGGAUCGUAGAAGAACCUUUAGAGUAAUUGUUGGUGCUUAUCAUUUGAUAUCAGAGCAUUUACUUGGCGUUAUUUGGCCAACACUAGAGAUGAAA